UGGUUACUGCGGUAGAGGUGGUUACUGCGGUAGAGGUGGUUACUGCGGUAGAGGUGGUUACUGCGGUAGAGGUGGUUACUGCGGUAGAGGUGGUUACUGCGGUAGAGGUGGUUACUGCGGUAGAGGUGGUUACGGCGGUAGAGGUGGUUACGGCGGUAGAGGUGGUUACGGCGGUAGAGGUGGUUACGACGGUAGAGGUGGUUACGACGGUAGAGGUGGUUACGACGGUAGAGGUGGUUACGACGGUAGAGGUGGUUACGACGGUAGAGGUGGUUACGACGGUAGAGGUGGUUACGACGGUAGAGGUGGUUACGACGGUAGAGGUGGUUACGACGGUAGAGGUGGUUACGACGGUAGAGGUGGUUACGACGGUAGAGGUGGUUACGACGGUAGAGGUGGUUACGACGGUAGAGGUGGUUACGACGGUAGAGGUGGUUACGACGGUAGAGGUGGUUACGACGGUAGAGGUGGUUACUGCGGUAGAGGUGGAUACUACGGUAGAGGUGGAUACUACGGUAGAGGUGGAUACUACGGUAGAGGUGGAUACUACGGUAGAGGUGGAUACUACGGUAGAGGUGGUUACUACGGUAGAGGUGGUUACUAUAGUAGAGGUAGGUCAUUACCACUCUUUUCAACAUCCAUUAUCGCUUAAUUCUGCAUUAUUUUUCUUAUAAGUAGUCAUUCCUCAUUAACGCCUUGUCAGUCAGUCAUCCAUCUUUCAUCCGUCCAUUCAGACAUCCUUAAUCUAUCCGUCAAUCAGUCAUCCAUCUUUCAUCCGUCCAUUCAGACAUCCUUAAUCUAUCCGUCAAUCAGUCAUCCAUCUUUCAUCCGUCCAUUCAGACAUCCUUAAUCUAUCCGUCAAUCAGUCAUCCAUCUAUCAUCCGUCCAUUCAGACAUCCUUAAUCUAUCCGUCAAUCAAUCCAUCUAUCAUCCGUCCAUUCAGACAUCCUUAAUCUAUCCGUCAAUCAGUCAUCCAUCUAUCAUCCGUCCAUUCAGACAUCCUUAAUCUAUCCGUCAAUCAGUCAUCCAUCUAUCAUCCGUCCAUUCAGACAUCCUUAAUCUAUCCAUCAGUCAAUCCAUCUAUCAUCCGUCCAUUCAGACAUCCUUAAUCUAUCCAUCAGUCAAUCCAUCUAUCCACAGUUUAAUCUGAGUCUCCUCUCCCUCCUCCUCCUCUCC